UUAAAGGAAUUGACGGAAGGGCACCACCAGUAGUGGAGCCUGCGGCUUAAUUUGACUCAACACGGGAAAACUUACCAGGCCCAGACACUGGAAGGAUUGACAGAUUGAGAGCUCUUUCUUGAUUCGGUGGGUGGUGGUGCAUGGCCGUUCUUAGUUCGUGAAGCGAUUUGUCUGGUUAAUUCCGAUAACGAACGAGACCCUAGCCUACUAACUAGUCGAUUACCGGAAUCCUUCGCGCAUCCGGCGAGAUCCCAUCUUCUUAGAGGGACAGGCAGCUUCUAGUUGCACGAGAUUGAGCAAUAACAGGUCUGAGAUGCCCUUAGAUGUUCUGGGCCGCACGCGCGCUACACUGGAGGGAUCAGCGUGUGUUUUCCUAGCCCGAGAGGGCCGGGUAACCCGUUGAAAUCCCUUCGUGAUCGGGAUUGGGGCUUGCAAUUGCUCCCCAUGAACGAGGAAUUUCUAGUAAACGCGUGUCAUAAGCUCGUGUUGAUUAUGUCCCUGCCCUUUGUCCACACCGCCCGUCGCUACUUCCGAUUGAAUGAUUUAGUGAGGUCUUCGGACCAGUUCGCAACUUUCUCGUAUUACUGCGGGAAUGCUGAUUGAACCGGAAAGAUGAUCGAACUUGAUUAUUUAGAGGAAGUAAAAGUCGUAACAAGGUUUCC
rnacentral:rRNA from 1 species